GGAGGAAAAGAAACUAACAAGGAUUCCCCUAGUAACGGCGAGUGAACCGGGAAGAGCUCAAAUUUGAAAUCUGGCGUCCUCAGGGCGUCCGAGUUGUAAUCUAUAGAGGCGUUUUCCGUGCCGGACCGUGUCCAAGUUCCUUGGAACAGGAUAUCAAAGAGGGUGACAAUCCCGUACUUGACACGACGACCGGUGCUCUGUGAUACGUCUUCUACGAGUCGAGUUGUUUGGGAAUGCAGCUCAAAAUGGGUGGUGAGUUCCAUCUAAAGCUAAAUAUUGGCGAGAGACCGAUAGCGAACAAGUACCGUGAGGGAAAGAUGAAAAGCACUUUGGAAAGAGAGUUAAACAGUACGUGAAAUUGUUGAAAGGGAAACGAUUGAAGUCAGUCGUGACCGAGAGGCUCAGCCGGUUCUGCCGGUGUAUUCCCCUCGGUCGGGUCAACAUCAGUUUUGUCCGGUGGAUAAGGGCGGUAGGAAGGUGGCACCCUCGGGUGUGUUAUAGCCUGCCGUCGCAUACAUCGGGUGAGACUGAGGAACGCAGCUCGCCUUUAUGGCCGGGGUUCGCCCACGUCCGAGCUUAGGAUGUUGACAUAAUGGC
rnacentral:rRNA from 1 species